rnacentral:rRNA from 1 species
UAAAACGGGAGGGAGCCGUAGGGAAUCUUCCCCAAUGGACGAAAGUCUGAACGAACAACCCCCCCUGAACCAAGAAAGCUUUCCGGUCCUAAAGUUCUGUUGUCCGGGAAAAACCAGUACCCGAGUAACUGCCGGUACCUUGACGGGACCUGACCAAAAAGGCCCGGCUAAAUACCUGCCAACAGCCGCGGGAAUACCUAAGUGGCAAGCGUUUUCCCGAAUUAUUGGGCGUAAAGCGCCGGCCAGCGGUUCCUUAAAUCUGAAGGGAAAACCCCCGGCUCCACCCGGGAGGGUCCUUGGAAACUGGGGAACUUGAAUGCCAAAGAAGAAAACGGAAUUCCCCCUGUAACCGUGAAAUGCCUAAAAAAGUGGAAGAACCCCCCUGGCCAAAGCCGCUCCCUGGUCUGGAACUUGACCUGAAGCCCAAAAACUUGGGGAGCGAACAGGAUUAAAUACCCUGGUAGCCCCCCCCCGAAACCAAGAAUGCCUAGUGUUAAAGGGGUUCCGCCCCUUAANGC